UACGGGGGGGGUAAGCGUUGUUCGGAAUUACUGGGCGUAAAGGGCUCGUAGGCGGCCAACUAAGUCGGACGUGAAAUCCCUCAGCUUAACUGGGGAACUGCGUCCGAUACUGGAUGGCUUGGAUUUGGGAGAGGGAUGCGGAAUUCCAGGUGUAGCGGUGAAAUGCGUAGAGAUCCACAGGAACGCCGGUGGCGAAAGCGGCGGACUGGGCACCUUCUGACGCUGAGGCGCGAAAGCCAGGGGAGCAAACGGG
rnacentral:rRNA from 1 species